AUUGAACGCUGGCGGCAGGCCUAACACAUGCAAGUCGAACGGAAACAGAAAGCAGCUUGCUGCUUUGCUGACGAGUGGCGGACGGGUGAGUAAUGUCUGGGAAACUGCCUGAUGGAGGGGGAUAACUACUGGAAACGGUAGCUAAUACCGCAUAACGUCGCAAGACCAAAGAGGGGGACCUUCGGGCCUCUUGCCAUCGGAUGUGCCCAGAUGGGAUUAGCUAGUAGGUGGGGUAAAGGCUCACCUAGGCGACGAUCCCUAGCUGGUCUGAGAGGAUGACCAGCCACACUGGAACUGAGACACGGUCCAGACUCCUACGGGAGGCAGCAGUGGGGAAUAUUGCACAAUGGGCGCAAGCCUGAUGCAGCCAUGCCGCGUGUAUGAAGAAGGCCUUCGGGUUGUAAAGUACUUUCAGCGGGGAGGAAGGGAGUAAAGUUAAUACCUUUGCUCAUUGACGUUACCCGCAGAAGAAGCACCGGCUAACUCCGUG
rnacentral:rRNA from 1 species